rnacentral:rRNA from 1 species
GGUUUCCGUAGGUGAACCUGCGGAAGGAUCAUUAAUAANUCAUGACACUCCAAGGAUGCCUUCUCCCAACAGCUUUGGCUGGCUUGCAGUUGGUCUCCUUGGUGCUCAUCUUUUACAUCCCAUUCUGUGAACAUGACUUCUGUUGCUUCCCGUGGAUGCGGGCCAGCAAGGGGUUAACUCCCUGAUGGUCACCCAGUGGGAAGGGAAUCAUAAACUCUGGUUUCUGUAGUAUUAUGCUGAGUGAUAAUCACAAUCAAACAAGUUAAAACUUUCAACAACGGAUCUCUUGGUUCUCGCAUCGAUGAAGAACGCAGCGAAAUGCGAUAAGUAGUGUGAAUUGCAGAAUUCAGUGAAUCAUCGAAUCUUUGAACGCACAUUGCGCCUUNUGGUAUUCCGGGAGGCAUGCCUGUUCGAGCGUCAUCAAACACAUCCUCAAGCAAUUUUGCUUGGUCUUGGAGGAAGAUGUCAACAUCUCCUCUCAAAUACCUCAGCGGAAGCCUCCGCAGCAUCAGGUGUGAUAAUAGCUUUUCACUUGGUGACUGUGGUUAUGUUCUUGCUGUUAAGAGCCCCCCAGCUUCUAUAAGUUGACCUCGAUCAGGA